AUUGGUCAUUUAUUUCAGGAUACACCAAAACAAUCAUUCUGUAUUUCACUCAUGAACCAAUCAGAAAUUCUGAUACAAAAUAAGACCAGAAAUAGCUGAAACUUUAUUUACAGGGCUGUCCUACAGGAAGAAGUCGAUUAAAAGUUUAGAAGAAAUCCCUAACGCAUCUGUAAACAAUUGACACUAUGGGAUCUCCUGCCUCAGAUGAUGAGGAACCUGAAGAACCAACCAAGGUACAUGUACCCCAGCACUUGUUAGAACAUUUGAAAGUUAAAGCAACAGGAGAAUCAGUCAAGUCAGAUAAACGACCAAAAUCUGCAGAUGCUGCUACCAGGACUGUUGAUAAUAUUGAUUCCACACAAAAUAACAGUACACAAGAUAUACAAAAUCAAUACCCAUUAUCAAAUCAAGAAAGACGAUCUUCUCUCCCACCUGGAUUAUUAGAAAGUGGAGAGAUAAAUAGUUUAUGUGGACAAAUGUUACGAUACAUGGGUGAUGAGCAAUACUCUAUGGCUUGUGGUCGGCAUUUGAGAUGUAUGGGUGACCAGUUAUGCUACAAUUACUUCAUUAGAAAUGUAAUCAGAAGUUCAGGGGAGUUUCAGCACCAGAAUCAAAAUUCUCAUGCAUUGACAAAUUCCCAUUCUACACCAAAUUUAUCAAAACAUUGAAUGAAGAAUUGAUUGAGUGCACAGUAUUUAUACACGUUAUGUCAACUUUCAUUGAUGUAUUUAAGCUUAUCAGCAUGAACAUGAGUUUUUUUGGAACAUGAUUAGACCAGAAAAAUAUACUGUGUUUACUGAAAAUAUAGUGUGUUGACUGUUACAUGAUAACGUCCUUGAAAAAAAUAUGGUCGGGAUUUACAGUUAGCUUAUUUUUUCAAAAAUUACAUGAUUAAAAGAAAUAAAGACAGUCAGUCAGAAACCAUAAACACAAAAUAUUAUUUUUGGUCUAAUAAAAUAUAGCAGGAUGACUAUCCAAAUGGUUUCACACAUAGAUAUUAAUGCAGCAUGUAUGUUUAUGAUGUGUAUUGAUAGAAAAAUAAGGUAAAAAAAUUGUACUUUUAUUUUGAAAAUUUUAUUGACAUUGGGUGUAAAAAUUUUAAAGCAGGCAUUAUUUUUAGUAGGAAUUUACAGUUGCUAAUGUUGUUUGUUAACUCCUUUUUCUACCUCGACUUCAUGAAGAGCCUUUAAAAAAUGAAACCUAUGCAAAUCAAAUUCCAUUUCAUUGUUUACAAUGGGAGACAACUCAAUAAUUUUAGGUUUUAAUUAUGUUGUAUAUUAAGUUAUUCAAACAUAUCAAAGAUUAUAUGUAUAAAAUAUUAGAAAUAUAGAUGAUGUAUAUCAAUCUGUCCAAAAAAUUGAGACUUGUCUUUUGACAGCUUUUUAUAUAAAAUACUUAUGUAAAAUAUGUAAUCAUUUACUA